UUGAAGCUCCCGACAUAGGAGGCCUCGACACUGGGGAACGUUAAAGGAAAACCGGUGUCGCGAGCACCGCCAAAACGAAGCGAGGGCGAGGAGGGAAGGCAAAGAUGUCUUUGAAAUCGGUGAUCGAGCACGAGGUGGUGGCGAAUCACGAUGCCCUCCGCUUCGGGCUGGACGGCGUCAAGGGCGACAUCGUUGGAUCCCACCCCCUCCAAUCCCGUCGCGAUUCUACGAGUAGAUUUUGGGAGGAGAAAAAGAGGAUGGGUUUGGACUUUACUUACGGAUCGGCUUUCAAUCUGAGGAGAGAUCUCGAUGCCCAAAUUCUAUCCAGGUACGCAUUUCGUUUCCCAGCAAAAAUCACAUAUCUCCUAUGUAAGAACGUAAAUUUGCUUAGGCUUGUUAAUUCAAGCAAUCAUCAAUCGACUCUCAUGAAAUCGAGACCUUAAGGAUUAUUUUCCAUCCUAUUUUUCUAUGACAGGCUUUAUUAUUUCUUUUAGAAAUUCUAUGAACAUUGUCGAAAAUCGAUUAAACGAUAAAAAUCAUCCUUGAUGCAUAGUGAUUACAAUUUAAAGAUUGGAGGAACAUUUUGAUUUGUAAAUGGUAGUGCGGUGUUUUAUUAAGGUGUUGUUUUUAACCAUCCUUUGAAAACAUUGUGGUUUAAAAUAGCAUGAUCAGUUCUAAUCAUUAUUUCCUAUUGGCCCGAAUGUGUCUACUGCCAGAUUGCUAAGCCAUGGGAAUUAACUUUGAAGGAGACAUCUUGUACUUAUUUUAACAUUCUAAAAGCUUUCAGUACCUUUUGUUUCGAAAUCAUUAAAGUUCUUGCCAUGAUCUUUGCUAGCUUUUCUGUUUCUGUCAGCCAUUCUUCCAUUUCAGUUAUAAUCAUUUAUAAAUCUGUUUGAAAAACUUGAGACUUCUGAUUUUGGUUCCAUUGCUUUUGUUCUUUGUCUACCACCUUGGAUCAUCUUUGUGGUAUUUUCAAGGUGCUAGUUUUUUGUUUGCAUCCUUUCCAGUUGAACUCUGGGGAUAAUUCUUUUUUCCAAAGGUAAAUCUUUUAUGAAAAUAUUUGGUUUUAAUUCCUUGUAUAAACAUAUGAUCAGUUAUAUCAAGAAGCUAUUGCUAACAGCAAACUACUGCAAGCACAAAGGGACAACGAAAAUUUUUGACGAGAAAAAAUGAUAGAUAGUGUAUUGGUAUGCAAUAGCAGAAAGCUCACAUCUAAAACCACUUGCUAAUCUUGUUAGUAUUUAGUAUUUAUUAUUUAAUCUAGAAUUCAUUAGAAUUUCUCUGGGUAUGCACCUCGAGUUCUUUGGAGUGUACAACCCUAAGGAGAAUGGCUAAAUGAUGCAUUCAACACGAAUUGGGUGAAUAUUGUUUGAGCUUCACAUUUUUUAUACGAUUCUCAGGUUACGGAGCCAAUCCGUAUAAUUUGGACCAGUGAGACGGUUGACAUUAAGUAUGCCACAUAAGGGAUUUGAAAGCGACAUUAUUCUAUAAAUAAAGAUGCAGUAGAAAUAAAAAAACAUGUAGAUUUUGCAGAAAAUUACAUAAUCAAGAUAUAGAUUUAUAUUUUAAUAUACUCCAACUAUUUUCUUGCAAAUCACAUAACACAAUCCUUUAUGUGAAUCGGAGACCCCCGGUGGAUCUCUAGUGGGGAUCGGGAUCAAAUCGGUGUAUUAACGUAACAUCGAGUGACUCAACCAAUUACGCUAAGCCCGUAAAGGUAGGCAAUUCUUGCCAAUCACAAUUUCUUGUGAUUCCCGUCCUGUUCGACCUUCGAACUACUAUGGCCUCGAGUGACUCGACCAACCAUGGUCUGAUGCAACAGCAUUCUUGGAGACCACAGAGGGGUUUGCCCGAGUCAUCUGUCUCUAUUCUUCGUGCGUGGCUGUUUGAGCACUUCCUUCAUCCUUACCCAAAGGAUUCUGAGACGCUGGUACUUGCAAGACAGACAAGCUUGACGAGAAGUCAGGUUUCAAACUGGUUCAUAAAUGCACCAGUUCGUCUUUGGAAGCCUAUGAUUAAAAACAUGUACAAAGAAGAAUUUGGAGAUACUGAGAUUGACUCAAAACUCUUCCUUAUCAAAUCCACCCAAACUGAAUGAAGACAUCCAACCUCUGAGGACCAUGAAGACUUGCAGAACCCCGCAACUGGAAGAUGCGAAACAAGCCAGAUAAGUGACUCGUCAAGACCCAAUACCGUCCCAACCAUGAAUGUGGCCACUUCAGCUGCUGCUUUCCUAGAUGGAACAACUACACGAGAUUCAUAUCCAUCGAUUGGACAAGAUUCCAGCUUUUACAAGAUGCUCUAGCUGGCACAGACAGGGGGUUUUUGGUGUAUCAGAUGGCUGAGUUAGGUCAAAACAGUGGGGGGUCUCUCACACUCGGGCUGCAGCACUGUGAUGUUGGCUUUCCUGUAUCAGACAAUCAACAGAGCCUUCUCGCCGUGCAGGCUGCAAAAGAUGCAAUCGAAUCUGAACACCAAUUUGGAUCAACAGGUGUUGCAUGAUUUUGUUGCUUGAAUUCAUCUGCUUCAGCUGUUGUUGCCAUCAGACUUCUCUGAACCAGAAUAAUUUGUCACAAGAUGCUUUCUAGGCAUUGCUUGCAAUCUUAUAGGAGAAAGUGAGUUUAGCGAGGUAAUGGAGUACAGGAGGUGUUGGAAUUAUGGGGUAGCAUGUUGUAAACAUAGAAUAAUUUUUGUAUAUCCUACGGCAAAAGAAAAAAAAAUACAAUUGAUUUAGGUCAAUGUGGUGUAUACUGAUUGAAUGGCUUCAAAGGCCUUACAUCUGAUCACAUGAUUGUAAGAAAGUUGGAUUGCAAUAACAACUGGAAGAAUUGUGAUCCUAA